UCUGGACUCGGAAAUCCUACUCAUUCAGAAUGCCUUGGACAUCUUUGUUAACUGAGCAGAGACGGCGUAUUCGGACAGGUUCCUGAGGGAAAAUGGACAAAGUGCAUCGAGCAAAUCAAGGCAAGGCAAGUGUUUUUCCCAGAGGAGCAACCUUUGCACUCAUCAGUGGACUCACAAAGAAACGUUAUCCCAAAAUGCAAUUUGAUUCGAUGUGUUUACUGUGCACUCACUUUAAACAAAAAAAAGAAUUGUAACCUAGCUUUGUUAUUUUUAAACUUAAGUGAGCAAGCAGAUUUAUAAAAACACACUGGGGACUCCAGCUGAGCAUUUUGACUUCUUAAAGGUCCAGUGUGUAGGACUUCAGGGGCUCUGCCUGCAGAUAUAAACUUUAAUAUUUAUAAAGAUUGCCUUAUUAUAUAAGCAUCUGAAACUAUUGCUGUGUUUUGGGUAUCUUAUGGUUGUGUAUAUAUACAUAUAUAAGGAGUGCGUGUGCUGUGUUGCUCUGCCUUCUUUCUAUCAAUCGCUGGCUAUUGAGAGGAUCUUUAUUUUUCAUGAAGGAUACAUUAAAUGCUGGGAAAGGGAGCGUAAGACAAAGGGUGUUGAACUGGUUGCAGUCUGAAUCAUUAAAUGCCACUAAAUCCUACACACAGACCAUUUUAAGGUUAUAGUAAAUGACACAAUUUGUUAUUUAAUAUCUGGCCGAUUUGAAAUGAGUCACUGUGGCUCAGAAAACUGUUCUCGACAACUAAUUUACCUUCGAUUGAAUGUAAAUUUGAAUUUCGACUCUUCCAAAAGCAAGAAAACAACCAGAAAGAAUUUUAAAUUGAGCCGUAUGUCAUGAGGUCACAGCAUCUGUUGGAAAAUGAUGUCAUACUGGAUUAUCAAGAUGGCUAACGUUAGCAGCACCAGCAGCCUUCUGUCCAUUUAACAGAGUUGUUUAUCUGUUGUCAUCUAUUAUUUCUGGUGCUGACUAGCAGACGCAGCCUGGUUUAAUCACUAAGUCGACCUAUUGAGCUCAUCCCUGCAUCAGAAGGUGUUGGACAGCAAAACUCUGUAUGUUUAAUCACAUACUCUGAUGUCUCUGUCAUUAUAGUUUUCUCAUUCACUUUCAAUUGCCUGGUUCACUUGGGGAAAUAUAUCCAUUUGCUUUUUCGACACCACUUCAUUCUACUUUAAUGUCUGUACGGUAAAUAUGAAGCUUGAGUCGGCAGCUGUUUGGUUUAGUUCAGCAUCAAUCUACCAAACACCUCUAAAGCCCACCACCCUUAUAUUCACCGUACAGACACAGGUUGUACUGAAAUUAUCUAAACCUUUGGCAAGAAGGCAAAUUAACGUAUUAAACUAUUCCUCUACUACAGAGGUUCAGUAACAUUAGUGAAGUCUUCACUCCACUCAGUGAGAAUCCACUUUUUUCUACUUGUAUCCAGUUAUUUCAGUUCUUACAGAGCCGAUGAAGUUCGAGGAAACACUUCAAUCUAAUACAGCCGCUGCGAUGCCCUUUAUCCUCCAACACAAGGUGAAAUAAGCUGAAUUGUCCCAGGUUUGAAUAAAUAACCAAGACUUUGUUUUUAAAAUUGCAUUUGCUGUACUUUUAUGAAUAAACAUUUCAACAUUUACACAUCAGGUUUUUUGUCCUUUCACUUUCAUAGAAAACACUGGAUGGAUAUAAAACAUGUUCUUCUCCUGCAGGUUUUGUCCCCGUCUUCUUUUUCAUGUCCAUGUUCUGGUCCCUCGGGGUAAAAGGCUUCUCAGGCCUUUCUCUUGUUGCAGGUAACAAUAUUGUAAACGUACAACAGCUCUUUGUCUCUCCCUCAUAGUUAUAAUACACACAUAUACAAAUACACACGCUAACUUGUCGUCCACAGGUGAAUCCAAGCUAAAAUAUCAUGGUUCUGAGAAUAAUUCACUAUUACUCGACCAAAGCUCAGGAAUUGUCUUUGUCCACAUUGUCCUGCCUGAAUGUUUUUAAUGUAAACUGACAGGACUCCUAGUAAACACUGUAACAGGAACCAUGAGUCCUUGUGUUUUAAAGGAGGUGAGGUUGUUUACAUUUCAGUGUAGUGAGUGAAAAGUCAAAAUCUCCAACUUCUCUAUUUCUUCAAAAUAGUUAUAAUUCUUACAAACUUCCACUUUACUUCCCGAUGGUUGAACGACUGAGUGUCGAUCAUCAUCACUAUCC